ensembl:lncRNA
GCCCAUCCAUGCAUAUUGUGGUUAUGAAGAUGCUAUGGGAGGACCCCAAAAGAUCUUGUUCUCUAUCUAAUUAUGAAAGCUAUUGUAUCAUUGAGAAGAACCCACCUGACCGAAAAGGUUCAUUUUAGAAGGUUUUAAUUAAUCAAACUCACAAUCCCACAAACAUUGCAUGUUUAAAUUAAAAUAAAUAAAUGCGAAAAACAACAUAUAACACACAUUUUAAAGACACUGUUUUGUACAGUAAACUAUAUUAUCUGUAAAAUCCCAAUGUUUAGAACCAAAUGAACAGUCCUUUAGAAUCUUCAUACAACGUCUUCGACCUGUUACAGAGAAUGCACUACGUAUGACUUUCACAUUAACAACGGUUUAAAUGACAAAUAAGCAACAAUAACGUAUCCUUUUACAUCAUAAGAAGAACCCACAUCAUAAUAAACACAACAUAAUUUCUUUUUUUUUGGGGGGGAAUUUACAAAAUCCAUCAAUACACAAUUACCAUCCAUUGAUUCUCACAGAUGCUGUGGAGAACCAUGUUUGAAAUAGUUAGAAAAUACCAAUUGCUUUGCAGGAUUGUUUUCAGGAUAUGUACAUUAUGUCUUUUAUAAUUGUGCAUUGGCUGUGUGAUUGUGUACACACAUUGAUAUCUACAUACAGGUCAUGUGAUAGCACAAAAUAAAUACAGAAAUGAUGCUCAAUUCAUGUUUGUCACUGUGACUCAAAACAUGUGAAAUGUUGAAUUUCAAUAUAUACAGUAGCUUCAAUAUGAAACAGUAUUCCAUUUCUGAGAGUUAUCUGGAUUACCUGCUUAGCAUGUGGAGCCAAGCCAUCUCUGACCCAGCUGACUGUAAAUCUGGAGGCAAAUGACUGACUGCUUUCUCCCCUUUUAGACUAAUUCCACAGGGAUCCUGUUCCUUUGUUUCUGAUGUUCCCCAUGAAACUGCCAUCUCAUUUAUCAGACAGCUCUAUCUAUUCAUUCAUGGUAUUCUGUAUUCUGUAUUCUGAGAGGCCUAUUUCACAGCCUGAUGCCUCCUCAUACCUCCUCAUCUCAUCUUCCUCAGCCUCAUACCUCCUCAUCUCAUGUUCCUUAGCCUCAUACCUCCUCAUCUCAUCUUCCUCAGCCUCAUACCUCCUCAACUCAUGUUCCUCAGCCUCAUACCUCCUCAUCUCAUCUUCCUCAGCCUCAUACCUCCUCAACUCAUCUUCUUCAGCCUCAUACUUCCUCAUCUCAUGUUCCUCAGCCUCAUACCUCCUCAUCUCAUCUUCCUCAGCCUCAUACCUCCUCAUCUCAUGUUCCUCAGCCUCAUACUUCCUCAUCUCAUGUUC